UGGACUACUCUCGGCGACGGAUAUCUCUCUUCUCUCAUCGAUGAACAACGUAAAGAAAUGCGAUAGCUGGGGUGAAUUGAAUAAUCCCGUGAACCAUCUAGUCUUUGAACGCAAGUUGCGCCCGACGCCAUCCGGCUAAGGGCACGGCUGGCUGGGCGUCAUUC
rnacentral:rRNA from 1 species